AGACUAAAUACACAUUAUUUGCAGUAACUUUGGAUUUUUUCUGAAAGUUGUGAACUUAGCUUAAGCAAAUCAAACAUGGAUAAAAGUUGGAUGACAAUGGGUAAGACACCCGAUGGCAGAUUAAGUCAUCCAUAUAUUGAAGGGGUCAAUGCAUUUAUUAAUUUUGCAAGAGUAGUUGUGGACUUUUUGAGAUCAAGAGGAGGUCCAAAAGAACAUUCUUAACUUUUUGAAGAGCAAGGGUUAUGAUGAUGCUCUUACUUAUGAGGGUGGUUCAACUUCAAGUUAAAAUCCUUUUUGAUUUCUUAUUGGUGGCUUUUAGG